AGUCGCUGUUUGGGACGCUGGGUGUGCGGUGUUCUGUCUCCGCUCCCGUUUCGCUGUCACAGCCCGUUCCUUCCCGGAGCCCGGGACAGGCUGGGCGCGCGCCCGUGUGAGUGAGCGGGACUCAGGGCAGAAGUGUCCCCUCACUGCGUUUUUUUUUCCUUUUAUCCAAAGAACGGGGCAGUUAGUACGCUUGCCUUCCUGUCGCCCGGUUGGGAGCGGGGUUGGUGUGCGGAGUGGUUCGCCUUUUUUUCUUUAGAACUUGUGAGCCUUUUUUUUUUUUUUUUUUUUUUUUCUUUUUUUAGGCUCAGUGCUGUCCGGGCUGGUUUGCCCGGUCCCUGACUAACGGCUUUCUGCCCCUUCUCUCGCCACCCCUGCCCAAGGUCGCCCCUCUGCCUUCGCCCCUGUCCCGGGAGGGUGGGAAGCUUUGACCCCGCCCUGCCCACUCGCGUCUCCGCAGCCGUAGCCGCGCCUGUCCCAAUAUGAAUAGGGUCAACGACCCACUUAUUUUUAUAAGAGAUAUUAAGCCCGGACUGAAAAACUUAAAUGUCGUCUUUAUUGUCCUGGAGAUAGGACGCGUGACCAAAACCAAAGACGGCCAUGAAGUGAGAUCGUGCAAAGUAGCAGAUAAAACGGGCAGCAUCACUAUUUCCGUGUGGGAUGAGAUCGGAGGUCUUAUACAGCCAGGGGAUAUUAUUCGGUUGACCAGAGGGUAUGCAUCCAUGUGGAAAGGAUGUCUGACACUUUAUACUGGAAGGGGUGGUGAACUUCAAAAAAUUGGGGAUCUAGGUGCGGUGCAGGCAGCCGCAAUGCGAGAUUCCAUACACUACUACCCUGGUAAUGAUCUCCACCCUGACCUGGAGGAGCCAUCCUCUCUAGGGGUGUAAGAUUUUGUAUGGUUUAUUCAGAAGUGCCAAAUUUCAGUGAACCCAACCCAGAUUAUCGAGGACAGCAGAACAAAGGGGCACAGAGUGAACAGAAGAAUAAUUCCAUGAAUAGUAAUAUGGGUACAGGUACAUUUGGACCAGUGGGAAAUGGUGUUCACACUGGCCCUGAAUCAAGGGAACACCAGUUUUCACAUGCUGGCAGAAGCAAUGGCCGGGGACUUAUAAAUCCACAACUACAAGGAACAGCUAGUAAUCAAACAGUGAUGACCACAAUAAGUAAUGGCAGGGACCCUCGGAGAGCCUUUAAAAGAUGACCUAUGCUAAAUACUCAUGUGUAGUUUUUAUACUACAUGCCCUACUUGAACACUUAUUGCACUUUUAUUUAUUGUUAACUGUGAAAAGUACGUCCUUUAUUGGGUUUCCUUUUAUAUUCUUGGUUUGUUAAGAAGAAUGGUUUGUUUUUAUAGCAAAACUGUUAAGCUGCUCGAGUCUCCUGUUGAAGAAUGGGAACACUGAAAAGUAGGGGCAUUUAUUUUUAGAGUAAAAAGAUUAUUGGAUAGCCUUUAAAAAACCUGCACCCAUUUCAUGGGUGAGUUACUUAAGACAUCAGCUUUAUAGCCUCUAUGAGUCUAUCUUCUGUAUAAGUUUUGUAAUAUUUAACAUAAGGCUUAAUGGGAGAUGUUCUUUUGUCUUGUAUUCAGAUAUUGCCAACUAAAGCAAUAACCAUCAAAAAACACAAGAACUUGUCAAUGCUAGCAGUAAUUUUUGAGUGUUUGUGGCUCUCGGAAUGAUUGACUUCGUUCAGUGACUACUAUUAAGAUUUUCCAAGGACUGACUCAUCCCAAAUUUUUGUUGUAUUACCAAAAAAACAGAUUCCUUAUCAGAAUUUGGAAUAGAAUGUGAUCUCUAUUGCAACAAGUAAUUUUAAAAGAAAGCUACAUUUAUUUUAGAGUAGUGCUCCUAACAUGUAUUAUCAACUUUGUGGAUUACAUUGGAGGAAAAUUUAAAACUGGGGCCUUGAAUAUUUAUUUUUUGAAACUACCAUGUUAAAUACUGAAGUAUAAUUUGGGGGAGUUAUAAAGUUAUGAUAAACAUUCAUCUGAUUAUUUUAAACAAUAGUUGUGGUAGAUAAACAUACUGGAGGUGAGUCAAAUUGAAUUCAUAUAGUAACAUGCAGUCUGAAGUCCUAGUUACUUAAUAGGUACUCAGCCUGGAGUGAAAAUCCUGGGUACUGACUUUGAGAGGAGUGAGUGUGCAUGUUGUCAAAGUUUCUGAACACAGUUCACAUAGCCUUAUUAGCAAAAGUUUUAAGAAAUGGCUCUAUCAAAGAAGCAAUUGCAGCUUUAUUCAGAAAUAUAAAAGUGGAAUUUAUGUACAUGUCAUAAGUGGUACCCACUUCCCCUUUUUACUGUAGGGUGGAUAACUCUUAGGAUUUAACUCUUUGAAUAUUAUCUCUUGAAUAAAGCAUGUGUUAAUGUUAACAAACCUA